UACGGGGGGAGCAAGCGUUGUUCGGAUUUACUGGGCGUAAAGGGCGCGUAGGCGGUCGUGACAAGUCACUUGUGAAAUCUCCGGGCUUAACUCGGAACGGUCAAGUGAUACUGUCGGACUAGAGUACAGAAGGGGCAACUGGAGUUCUCGGUGUAGCGGUGAAAUGCGUAGAUAUCGAAAGGAACACCUGCGGCGAAGGCGGGUUGCUGGGCUGAUACUGACGCUGAGGCGCGAAAGCCAGGGGAGCGAACGGG
rnacentral:rRNA from 1 species